rnacentral:sRNA from 1 species
AUUCUGCCCAAGCGGGGAAGGAUGAGAAGCUUCGACCAAGGUUCGACUUGAGCGCCAGCGAGAGAGCGUUGCCGCAGGCAACGACCCGAAGGACGAAGCGCGCAGCGCUGAGUAAUCCUUCCCCCACCACCA